CCUACGGGAGGCAGCAGUGAGGGGUAUUGCACAAUGGACGAAAGUCUGAUGCAGCGACGCCGCGUGGGCGAAGAAGGUUUUCGGAUCGUAAAGCCCUUUUCUAUGUGACGAGAUAGGACGGUAGCAUAGGAAUAAGUGUCGGCUAACUACGUGCCAGCAGCCGCGGUAAAACGUAGGACGCGAACGUUAUCCGGAGUUACUGGGCGUAAAGCGCGCGCAGGCGGUCGAGUAAGUUGCCUAUGAAAGCUUCCGGCUAAACCGGAAGAGGCUAGGUGAAACUGCCCGACUAGAGAGGGACAGAGGGAAGUAGAAUUCCGGGUGUAGUGGUGAAAUGCGUAGAUAUCCGGAGGAAUGCCAGUGGCGAAGGCGGCUUCCUGGGUCUCAGCUGACGCUGAUGCGCGGAAGCGUGGGUAGCGAACGGGAUUAGAAACCCCGGUAGUCCACGCUGUAAACGAUGUACAUUAGGCGUUCGCAUGCGUUCAGUAUGUGAGUGCCGAAGCUAACGCGAUAAAUGUACCGCUUGGGGAGUACGGUCGCAAGGCUAAAACUCAAAGGAAUUGACGG
rnacentral:rRNA from 1 species